CUUCCGUCGGUUCACAGGUUUUAGAACUUAGAAGGCCAACUUAGUGCCAUCCAAAAUGCAAUGCAAAUUGGUACACUUGCAAAAGUUCCAUGGAGAUUUGCUAAAAACAUUUUCAAUUUCUUUUUAGGGGUUUUCUUUUCUUUUUCCAUCUCUGAUGAGUAGUAGCGAGUUAGCGAUCAUUUUUUGACUUCUCUGAUGGAGUCUGAAAACAGUGUUCGCCAGGAAACAGUGAAGAAACCAGUUGAUCCUAAGAGAAGAAAACGAAAAGUUAGUGUUUCGAUGGCAGCGUCUGUCACUGCUGCUGCUCCUUUAAGACGCUUAGAAAUAUUGCUUCAGGUUCAAAACUCUCAGAAUAUAAAGUACAAGGAUGUUAUCCAAGGCUUGCAACAUAUGAAGAGAACUGAUGGUUUUCGAGGAUUAUUCAAGGGCAAUGGUGCUUAUAUUGCGCAGGCCAUGUCAUUUUCUAUAGUCCGCACUGCUGUCCACUAUCCAUUAGCAAGGAUUAUACAACUCCAUUGGCAGCAUCCAGGCAAAGAAAACGCAAAGCCUCCUAUUUUAUUAACUGGUGGAAUUGAAGCAUGCAGUCUGAUGAUUGCAACGGCAGCAGCAUACCCCAUGGACAUGGUACGAGGAAGGCUUUCUGUCCAGACAGGAAAAUCACCAUAUCAAUACAGAGGAAUAUAUCAUGCUUUAUCAAGAAUUGCCCGAGAAGAAGGCCCAUGAGCUUUAUAUAAAGGCUGUCUUCCUUUUACCAUCGGACAAGUGGUAUACACAGGCCUCAACUCCACUGUCUAUCAAUCUUUACGUAUAAUCUCACCAAGGGUCUUGAGACAAAUGUUGGAGGCAACACCAGGAUUUGAUUAUACUGAUAUGAAGCCGGAAGACAUGAAACUUGAAGUGCUUGAAGAGAUGCGCGCCUAUGGGAAAAAACUUCCAUUCUUCUAUGUUUUUGCAUUCGCCGUAAGCCAUACCUUUGCUUUUUAAUCUUAUUCAUCGAAGAAUGCAGAUGGGGGGUGGAAAAAAUCUUCAUCUAUUAUUGCAUGUGAUGGCAAUAACAAGGCAGCAAUUGAGUUCACAGGCAUGUGUGAUGCAUUCAAGAAAACCAUUAGAAAUGAUGGUUUUAAAGCACUGUACAGGGGAUUGGUUCCGAAUUUACUACUGAAGGCAUUUCCAGCUUCAGUUGCAUCUGUGAUACACUAUGGGCUGAUGGAAGGUCUUGGACUUGAGGACAUUCACAUCUUGACUUUCUCUUUGGAGUUGACAACUUUAGCAGUAUCAUUAUCUGUGAGUGCUUCAUCCAUUCUUGCCCAUCUGAUAGUUUCUAACGAUGUCUUGCACUACACCUCAUCACUCACUGCUGAAGCCCGGGGAACAGCGCUGUAUCUCGUCCCAUCAAAAAUCUGAAUGAGGGUUUUUUGUUGGUUUUUCUUUUCUUUUUUCUUCCUCCCCUUAUAAUUUAAAUUAGAAAUGAAAGGAUUCUGGAGUUGGAUACCCAUAAGAAAGCUGGCUAUCUUAUUGCCAAAAAUACCUAAAGCAAUCAUUUGAGAAUACAGUAUGGCUAGUUAUG